GACGAACGCUGGCGGCGUGCUUAACACAUGCAAGUCGAACGGUAAGGCCCUUCGGGGUACACGAGUGGCGAACGGGUGAGUAACACGUGGGUGAUCUGCCCUGCACUUCGGGAUAAGCCUGGGAAACUGGGUCUAAUACCGGAUAGGACCCUGGGAUGCAUGUCCUGGGGUGGAAAGCUUUUGCGGUGUGGGAUGGGCCCGCGGCCUAUCAGCUUGUUGGUGGGGUGAUGGCCUACCAAGGCGACGACGGGUAGCCGGCCUGAGAGGGUGACCGGCCACACUGGGCCUCAGAUACGGCCCAGACUCCUACGUGAGGCAGCAGUGGGGAAUAUUGCACAAUGGGCGCAAGCCUGAUGCAGCGACGCCGCGUGAGGGAUGACGGCCUUCGGGUUGUAAACCUCUUUCAGCACCGACGAAGCGCAAGUGACGGUAGGUGCAGAAGAAGGACCGGCCAACUACGUGCCAGCCGCCGCGGUAA
rnacentral:rRNA from 1 species